rnacentral:rRNA from 1 species
GACAGAGGUGCCGAGCGUUAGGCGGAAUCACUGGGCUUAAAGCGUGUGUAGGCGGAUGCCUAAGUACCUUGUGAAAUCCCACGGCUCAACCGUGGAACUGCUUGGUAUACUGGGCGUCUUGAGCCACUUAGGGGCAACCGGAACAAACGGUGGAGCGGUGAAAUGCGUAGAGAUCCGGAGGAACACCGAAAGCGAAGGCAGGGUCCUGGCUGGUACCUGACGCUCGUGGGCGAAAGCUAGGGGAGCGAACGGG